rnacentral:rRNA from 1 species
UACGGAGGGUGCAAGCGUUAAUCGGAUUCACUGGGUUUAAAGGGUGCGUAGGAGGGUAGGUAAGUCAGUGGUGAAAUCUCCGGGCUCAACUCGGAAACUGCCGUUGAUACUAUCUGUCUUGAAUGCCGUGGAGGUGAGCGGAAUAUGUCAUGUAGCGGUGAAAUGCUUAGAUAUGACAUAGAACACCAAUUGCGAAGGCAGCUCACUACACGAACAUUGACUCUGAGGCACGAAAGCGUGGGGAUCAAACAGG